GAGGCGCUGUGGAGUGAGAGGGGGGGGGCGGCACCGGUGCUGCCGAGCGGACACACGGAGGCAACACAGCCGCUGAAUCACGUCCUCAUCCCCGCAGAGCUGAGCCCGAGCACCGGGGGGGGGGGUUGAAUGUCUCUGGUGACGUGGAGGUGACUGGACAAAAUAAGAAGAUGUGAGCUACUGGGGAUAACUCAGCAGUGAUGGAGAUCUGAUUUCUUCUUCUCCAUCCUUCACGUCCUGGCCCACCUGUUCCACUCGGCCCAUUGGAUUUCUACUGUGGGUUCAUCACUCGCCAUACCUGAGGAAGAAUGAGCGGCAUCUGAUAAACGACUGUAUUUAGAUUCAAGCUCACGUCCUCCGCCGUGUUCUCUGUCUGCCGGCUGAUUCAUGUCGACUCCUCCACCUCUGCUCGCCAUGUAAAUCAGCCGAGACACUGGAGUGGCCUGAUCCCAGCGGAGCCAUCUCCUCCCACCGCGUUAUUACCACGUCCUCCCACCACGGGGACGGCACUGAUGAUGGUGCUGCCGCUCACACCUGUUGGAGCCGCAGUGAAACCAAGGUUUUUCCCAGAUCCCGUUAUCACUCUACCUGUGGCCGUCUCACGGUGUCUGCGGCGGUUUGGGGGAAGGACACGACCCUUGACUCUCAAAGCUCGCUGCUCUUCCGGGCCACUGCAACGUAAAAUGUCACACAACACAUUCAAGUUUGACGGAGCCAUUAGACAUACGGUUUGGAAAGUGAACAGGUAUUUCUCUUGUGCUGAGGACGCACUGUGAUCAUGGGCAAACAGAUCAUUUCAGCCCAGUGGUGUCAGAUCGCAUGAGCAGAUUACGGCCGAGGGAGCCGGAUGCAGGUUUAAUAUGAGACUCCCUCUGGAAAGAAGCACAAUCUUAAACAGGGGCUGUACAGCAAACGCAUUUCCUUUGUCAGAUACUCUUGAGUUAUGUCAGAAUAUUGUCAGGAUUGUCCCCAAAAUGGUCGAAGUAGGAAUUAGAGCCUGACCAAUACAGAAAAUUCGGAUCUAUCGGACGAUAUAUGUAUUCAAAAAAGUUGCUAUGUUUCCUAAGACUCUAGUAGGAAUCAUACUUUUAUUUUGCCCUAUAUGCAGGUUGGAAAUAAGUUCGACUUAGUCUCGAGUUCAGACGUGUGAUCCCAAACUGACGUGUGCACCCAUCUCCUCCUCUGAGGUCGGAGCCCUUCUCUGUCCUCUGACUCUUUACCUUUCUGCCACCGCUCACAGCAUGUGGUCCAUUGUUUCCACUUAAUUUUGCCUAUGAUCACAGUUUUUUUACAUAAAGACGUUUUACCACUGAAGAUGAGUAAUCACCUGUGUUUUCCUAUUCGUCAGGUGGUGGGGGGGGGGCGGUUUCGGCAAAAGAGGAAAAAACAUGGAUAACAUGAAAAAUGUGAAAACUACUGUGAACGACGUGAAAAAAGAUCUGCCUCUGUCAAAUGAUAAAAAAACGACCUAACAAUUUCAAAAUUGACUUUUUUUACACAUGGUAUUUUUUUUGAUAAUGAUAUUUUCAACAAUACAUCCAAGAGUUAGGUUUCGGAAAUAUUGUAAGAAGUUUGCAAAGCUCGUGACUUCUCUAUGAGAACUGGACUUACGACUCUAAAUCAUGAAAUCAUCCGUUUUGUCUUAUUUCUAUAUUUGUACGUUCCUGGAUUUUCUCUUUAAAAUAAAAGCGAAUUGACCAAAAAAAACGUGAUUUAAUAAAUCUAAAUGCAUUGUUUUGACUAUUCUGAUGAAACUGGUAUUGUGUGGGAUAUAUAUUGAAUCCAGAAUAGAUAAUAAUAAGUACAGGAGAUCAUUUAGAGGCCAGAUGUUUUACUUAAAAGACCUUAAUUACCCACAAUGCUCUCAGA